rnacentral:rRNA from 1 species
CACCGCGGUUAUACGAAGAGCCCGAGUUGAAAAACACCGGCGUAAAGGGUGGUUUGGGAAUAUUCUAAACUAGAGCUAAAUUUUCUCAAAGCUGUCAUACGCGCAUGAAAAACAGAAAAUCACCUACGAAAGUGGCUCUAACUAACCCUGACACCACGAAAGCUAUGACA